rnacentral:rRNA from 1 species
GACGAACGCUGGCGGCGUGCUUAACACAUGCAAGUCGAACGGAAAGGCCCUGCUUUUGUGGGGUGCUCGAGCGGCGAACGGGUGAGUAACACGUGAGUAACCUGCCCUUGACUUUGGGAUAACUUCAGGAAACUGGGGCUAAUACCGGAUAGGAGCUCCUGCUGCAUGGUGGGGGUUGGAAAGUUUCGGCGGUUGGGGAUGGACUCGCGGCUUAUCAGCUUGUUGGUGGGGUAGUGGCUUACCAAGGCUUUGACGGGUAGCCGGCCUGGGAGGGUGACCGGCCACAUUGGGACUGAGAUACGGCCCAGACUCCUACGGGAGGCAGCAGUGGGGAAUAUUGCACAAUGGGCGGAAGCCUGAUGCGGCAACGCCGCGUGCGGGAUGACGGCCUUCGGGUUGUAAACCGCUUUCGCCUGUGACGAAGCGUGAGUGACGGUAAUGGGUAAAGAAGCACCGGCUAACUACGUG